rnacentral:tRNA from 1 species
GGGCGAUUAGCUCAGCGGUAGAGCGCCUCGUUUACACCGAGGUGGCCGGGGGUUCGAUCCCCUCAUCGCCCACCA